AUAUUGCACAAUGGGGGAAACCCUGUUGCCGUGACGCCGCGUGAGCGAGGAAGGCCUUCGGGUCGUAAAGCUCUGUCCUAAGGGAAGAAACGGACGGUCCCUUAGGAGGAAGCCCCGGCUAACUACGUGCUAGCAGCCGCGGUAAUACGUAGGGGGCGAGCGUUAUCCGGAAUUAUUGGGCGUAAAGGGUGAGUAGGCGGCCUUUUAAGUCAGAUGUGAAAGGCUACGGCUUAACCGAAGUUAGCAUUUGAAACUAAAAAGCUUGAGUGCAGGAGAGGAGAGUAGAAUUCCUAGUGUAGCGGUGAAAUGCGUAGAUAUUAGGAGGAACACCAGUGGCGAAGGCGACUCUCUGGACUGAAACUGACGCUGAGGCACGAAAGCGUGAGGAGCGAACAG
rnacentral:rRNA from 1 species